rnacentral:sRNA from 1 species
GCCAGGUGUGGUGACGCAUGCCUGUAAUCCCAGCUACUUAGGGGGCUGAGGCAGGAGAAUCGCUUGAACCCGGGAGGCAGAGGUUGCAGUGAGCCGAGAUCAUGCCACUGCACUCCAGCCUGGGUGACAGAGCGAGAUUCUAUCUCAA